AACGAACGCUGGCGGCAUGCCUAACACAUGCAAGUCGAACGAGACCUUCGGGUCUAGUUGCGCACGGGUGCGUAACGCGUGGGAACCUUCCCUUAGGUUCGGAAUAACUCCCCGAAAGGGGUGCUAAUACCGGAUAAUGUCUUCGGACCAAAGAUUUAUCGCCUUUGGAUGGGCCCGCGUUGGAUUAGCUAGUUGGUAGGGUAAAAGCCUAACCAGGCGACGAUCCAUAGCUGGUCUGAGAGGAUGAACAGCCACACUGGGACUGAGACACGGCCCAGACUCAUACGGGAGGGAGGAGUGGGGAAUAUUGGACAAUGGGAGAAAGCCUGAUCCAGCAAUGCCGCGUGAGUGAUGAAGGCCUUAGGGUUGUAAAGCUCUUUUACCCGGGAAGAUAAUGACAGUACCGGGAGAAUAAGCUCCGGCUAACUCCGUG
rnacentral:rRNA from 1 species